AUGAUGACAAAGUCAAGAGAAAACAAAAUAAAUUUUAGAGUUGCAGAGAAGAAAAGGAAGAUGGAAGAAGAUGAAAUGUUGGUGGAAAUAAAUAAGAAUAAUAUGAGUGAGAGAAGUGUAAAAGUUGUAAUGAGAAAGAGUGUAAGAGAAGUGUGA